CAGCAGCCGCGGGAACACGUAGGUGGCAAGCGUUGUCCGGAAUUAUUGGGCGUAAAGGGCUCGCGGGCGGUUUCUUAAGUCUGAUGUGAAAGCCCCCGGCUCAACCGGGGAGGGUCAUGGAAACUGGGAAACUUGAGUGCAGAAGAGGAGAGUGGAAUUCCACGUGUAGCGGUGAAAUGCGUAGAGAUGUGGAGGAACACCAGUGGCGAAGGCGACUCUCUGGUCUGUAACUGACGCUGAGGAGCGAAAGCGUGGGGAGCGAACAGGAUUAGAUACCCCGGUAGUCCCUGUCUCUUAUACC
rnacentral:rRNA from 1 species